ACGUAUGGUGCAAGCGUUAUCCGGAUUUACUGGGUGUAAAGGGAGCGUAGACGGCUGUGUAAGUCUGAAGUGAAAGCCCGGGGCUCAACCCCGGGACUGCUUUGGAAACUAUGCAGCUAGAGCGUCGGAGAGGUAAGUGGAAUUCCCAGUGUAGCGGUGAAAUGCGUAGAUAUUGGGAGGAACACCAGUGGCGAAGGCGGCUUACUGGACGAUGACUGACGUUGAGGCUCGAAAGCGUGGGGAGCAAACAG
rnacentral:rRNA from 1 species